CUUAAAGCGGAUCCGCAUAUCAAGUCUAAGGUUAAGAUUUUGAAGAAGCAACUUUCUUAUGUUCUGGAAAUUAUGCAAAAUGGUUGUGGGUUUGGAUGGGAUGAUGAGAAGAAAAUGGUAACCGGAGAUAGGGAGACCUAUAUGGGCUGGGCAAAGGAAACUCCAGAAGGUGGAUCAACGGCAGAGACACAACCUACUAGCGAACAAGCCAAGGAGAAUCUUCCUGAAUCUCAUGAGAACACGAACCCACCUGGUAGUUCUAGGCCUGGUCAGAAGAGAACAUAUCCUGAUGAUGAUGCACUUGAGUCGGGUCUUAUAAGUGUGUCCAAUACAAUUGCAAAGUUCUUGGAAGCAGAGCAGGAUAAUGCUAAAACCAUGAAUGGUUUACAGAGGGCAUUUAUGCAUGAAGCACAAGUUCACGAGCAAACAUCAGCCAACAGAACCAAGUUACUUGAGAUUCUCCAAAAUAUCAAAGGUCUCACUACUGAAGAGGUUGUCAUGGCUGUUCGUGUCAUUGGUGGUGAUGCUGGAAAGACCGAACUUUUCAUCCAAUUGCGUGAUGAUUACAAAGUGGUGUUUGUUCGUCAGGAGCUUGAGGCGGCCAAAAAAUAA
rnacentral:rRNA from 1 species